rnacentral:rRNA from 1 species
UACGUAGGGGGCAAGCGUUGUCCGGAUUUACUGGGCGUAAAGAGCGUGUAGGCGGCCAAACAGGUCCGUUGUGAAAGCCCCGGGCUCAACCUGGGAAUGGCAGUGGAAACUAGGGGACUGGAAUCUGGCAGAGGGGGGUGGAAUGCCGCGUGUAGCAGUGAAAUGCGUAGAGAUGCGGCGGAACACCGAUGGCGAAGGCAGCCCCCUGGGCUGAGAUUGACGCUCAGGCACGAAGGCCAGGGGAGCAAACGGG